ensembl:lincRNA
UGUGUUCCUUCCCCACGUGUGCUGCUGUCCCCACAAAAAAUGCAUUUCGGAUGCUGAAUAUCCACGCCUCACGGUGCUCUGGUGACUAGGGGGAUCCCUGUGAGAUGGGGGCUUUCCAGCAACCUAGAUAAUGAAACCACAGAGCAGCCUUCCCCUGCGGUGACCUAGUUCUUAAUUCCUGUAGUUUCAACACUCAUCACAGCAGAAUUCUGAUGAGGCUGGGCUCUUUCGCAGCUGGCAUUUGAUGAGAAAAGGGAAUUGAAAUGUAGGUGAUUGAUUUGGACCUGGAGAAGCUGAUUGGAUGUCACCCUGUUCUUCCCGACAAUGGGGACCGGUCUGUGCAAAGGGGACUUCCUGUGACCCCUGCGGGUCCACCGGAAGUUCUGAUUUCUCCCCGUGGAAUAGGGGCGCGAAGGCUGCCCUGUCACACACGGCCCAAGAGAUUGAUUACCUGGGCUCUGGCAGCCUCUCUGGGAGUCCUUAAUUCCUCUCAGCACCGUUUGAGAUGAGCAACUACACAAGACAAAGACGAAAGGCUUUUUCAGCUCAAAAAUCCUGUGAUUCUUUGAUUCUAAGAAGAGAUUUUCUUACAAGGAGUUUGCCUAAGUGUCCACACGGCUUGUGUCUCCUCCCAGCAGCCGGCCUGCUGGUGUGUGUGCUGUGUGUGGAGCGUGGCCUUAGGCCUGUGUUGUGAGUGAUGUCUGCAGAGCAUGGGGUUGAUUUGGAAGAAGGUGUGAUCCGAAGUUGUGUUUGACCUGAGCUCCUGUCACCCCUGAAGGCAGCAGAGGAUCUCCUGUCAGUGACCCAGGAGGACAGCUUUCUGAAGGACAUUCUGCCCAUUACACAGAGGGGCUUUCGUGAUUGGUUUGCCCAGAUAUGACUUUUUUCCCUACCUUUGAAGGCCUAGAUUGGGUUUCCCAUUUCUUGGCCCUUUGGAAAGGCCAAUGGCUCCCUGUUUGACAGGCUGCCCUGAGCAGCAGGUGCUCCAUUUAGACCCAGGCUGCCCCAAUCCCAGCUCUGAUCUGACCCUCAGCUCUGAGGCUCCAUUGAGUCCCUGGGCCUCAGGGACCCUGUUCAGGCUUUGCUGAUGGUGGUAUCAAGUGACCUCCGAGCCACCUCCACGUUGGCUCAGACUGAGGAAACUGGUGAUCUUGUCUUGCUGUUUGCAAUACUUGAAGACAAAAACAGAACUUGUGCUGCAUUCUCAAGAAAGAAGAGACAACUGUUCCUGUACCUCACUCUUGUAGAUAUCUGUAUGAAGAAGCAGUGAUGGGUGCAUGCAAGCUAGGGAGCAUCAAGGCUCCCACGGCAUGGGCGCCAGCUGACCCCUGACCUCGUUUUCAUCUGUUGCUCUGGUCGUGGCUCUGAGAUCUGGGCAACCUGAGCCAGCUUGUGCAUUCCUUACCCUUGUGCUUUUGCACUAUCCAUCCCCGUCCCCUAGAACUCCCUCCAGUACAGUCUGCUCCACCCCAUCCCAUCCCAUCCCAUCCCAUCCCAACUCACCUCACUCCAUCCUACCCCAUUCUACCACAUCCCACCCCAUCCCAUUCCAUCCCAGCCCAUACCACCCCACCCCACCCCAUCCCACCUCACCC